rnacentral:rRNA from 1 species
UACGGGGGGAGCAAGCGUUGUUCGGAUUUACUGGGCGUAAAGGGCGCGUAGGCGGCCUUGCAAGUGACGGGUGAAAUCCCCUGGCUCAACCAGGGAACUGCUCGGUGAACCGCAUGUCUUGAGGCAAGUAGAGGCUGUCGGAACGAUAGGUGAAGCGGUGAAAUGCGUAGAUAUCUAUCGGAACGCCGAAGGUGAAAACAGGCAGCUGGGCUUGAUCUGACGCUGAGGUACGAAAGCGUGGGGAGCGAACGGG